AGCAGCCGCGGUAAUUCCAGCUCCAAUAGUGUAUAUUAAAGUUGUUGCAGUUAAAAAGCUCAAUGUGUUGGUCGUGCCUUGGUACGUACUAGUUUAUUGAUUUCUUCCUUCUGAUGAAUCAUGAUGUCAUUAAUUUGGUGUCAUGGAGAAUCAGGACUGUUACUUUGAAAAAUUAGAGUGUUUAAAGCAGGCUCACGCUUGAAUACAUUAGCAUGGAAUAAUGAAAUAGGACGUUUGAUUCUAUUUUGUUGGUUUCUAUGAUUGACGUAAUGAUUAAUAGGGAUAGUUGGGGGCAUUAGUAUUCAAUUGUUAGAGGUGAAAUUCUUGGAUUUAUUGAAGACUAACUACUGCGAAAGCAUUUGCUAAGGAUGUUUUCAUUAAUCAAGAACGAAAGUUAGGGGAUCGAAGACGAUCAGAUACCGUCGUAGUCUUAACCAUAAACUAUGCCGACUAGGGAUUGGAUGAUGUUAAUUUUUUAAUGUACUCAUUCGGCGCCUUACGGGAAAACC
rnacentral:rRNA from 1 species